AGAACAAUCUAAACUGGUAGCGGGAAGAGAAUCAGUGUAGGAAGGCAACAUUGACAAGGCCAAACAACGAAGUGGUGACUCACUGAGUCCUUGCACUCUCGAAGGAAACCACCACCUUAGAAAAAGCCAUGCACUUUCGGCGGGGGCUUAACCACGUUAGUUUGUCAUCUCUUCUUUGUGGAGGAGGAGGCCAGGAAGAAUGAGCUCUCUUUGAAGUCACAGACUACAACUCAAGUUUCUCAGCACAUAAGCCAGCAAAAUUCUACCCACAGCCAAAGUCCAGCUUCCACUUCCUUUAGCAAGCCUUCUCGAAGGACUCUAUGCCUCACUGAUCUUCCUCCUCACUGAACGCCACAGACCAAGAACCCAUAAUGUCCUCCUCAGGAACCAGCACAGUCCCAAAGUCCACAGAACUCAAAAGAACGCUGGUAGAUUGAUUUGCUCUACUAUCAUCUCAACAGUGCUUUCCUCGGGUGUAGCAUGAUGCAUUUUAACACAAUUAAAAUGACAUGUUAGAAAUGUUGCUGAUGGGGUUGCUGGGGCAAUGACUUCUUUCAAAGUCUUCCCUCUAUUUACUGCACUCAUGGAAGUGAAUCUCAUGGGAAGCUAUGUCUUAGCUGAAAGCCUGUCUUCAAAGUCCUUUGUCAAGGAAGUUUUCUGUUAUGAAUAAAUUAGUAUCACAA